rnacentral:antisense_RNA from 1 species
UGUGGGAGCGAGCCUGCUCGCGAAGGCGUCGGCACAUUCAGCAUUUUGGUUAACUGAACCACCGCUUUCGCGAGCAGGCUCGCUCCCACA